AGUGAACGCUGGCGGUAGGCUUAACACAUGCAAGUCGAACGGCAGCACAGUAAGAGCUUGCUCUUACGGGUGGCGAGUGGCGGACGGGUGAGGAAUACAUCGGAAUCUACUUUUUCGUGGGGGAUAACGUAGGGAAACUUACGCUAAUACCGCAUACGACCUACGGGUGAAAGCAGGGGAUCUUCGGACCUUGCGCGAUUGAAUGAGCCGAUGUCGGAUUAGCUAGUUGGCGGGGUAAAGGCCCACCAAGGCGACGAUCCGUAGCUGGUCUGAGAGGAUGAUCAGCCACACUGGAACUGAGACACGGUCCAGACUCCUACGGGAGGCAGCAGUGGGGAAUAUUGGACAAUGGGCGCAAGCCUGAUCCAGCCAUACCGCGUGGGUGAAGAAGGCCUUCGGGUUGUAAAGCCCUUUUGUUGGGAAAGAAAAGCAGCAGGUUAAUACCCCGCUGUUCUGACGGUACCCAAAGAAUAAGCACCGGCUAACUUCCUG
rnacentral:rRNA from 1 species